rnacentral:tRNA from 1 species
GAUUAGCUCAGUUGGUAGAGCAUCCGACUCUUAAUCGGCAGGUCCAGGGUUCGAAUCCCUGAUC